AGUGAACGCUGGCGGCGUGCCUAAUACAUGCAAGUCGAACGGAGUGGCGCGCGGGCGAGUAAUGUAUAGCUAAUCUGCCCUACACUAGAGGACAACAGUUGGAAACGACUGCUAAUACUCUAUAGUGUAGGAUGAGGCUAUAUUGUAUCAGCUAGUUGGUGAGGUAAUGGCUCACCAAGGCUAUGACGCAUAACUGGUCUGAGAGGAUGAUCAGUCACCCUGGAACGGAGACACGGUCGAGACUCCUACUGGAGGCAGCAGUAGGGAAUAUUGCUCAAUGGGGGAAAACCGAAAGCAGCAACGGCGCGUGGAGGAUGUCCAUUUGCGGAGAGUAAACUCCUUUUGUUAGGGAAGCGGUACCUAACGAAGAAGCACCGGCUAACUCCGUGCCAGCAGCCGCGGUAAUUC
rnacentral:rRNA from 1 species